rnacentral:rRNA from 1 species
UACGGAGGGUGCAAGCGUUAUCCGGAUUCACUGGGUUUAAAGGGUGCGUAGGAGGGCAGGUAAGUCAGUGGUGAAAUCUUCGAGCUUAACUCGGAAACUGCCGUUGAUACUAUCUGUCUUGAAUACCGUGGAGGUGAGCGGAAUAUGUCAUGUAGCGGUGAAAUGCUUAGAUAUGACAUAGAACACCAAUUGCGAAGGCAGCUCGCUACACGAAUAUUGACUCUGAGGCACGAAAGCGUGGG